AGCAUAUCAAUAAGCGGAGGAAAAGAAACUAACAAGGAUUCCCCUAGUAACGGCGAGUGAAGCGGGAAGAGCUCAAAUUUAAAAUCUGGCAGUGUAUUCUGUCCGAGUUGUAGUCUAGAGAAGCAUCAUCCGUGCUGGACCAUGUACAAGUCUCUUGGAACAGAGCGUCAUAGAGGGUGAGAAUCCCGUCCUUGACAUGGACUCCCAGUACUUUGUGUUGUGCUCUCAACGAGUCGAGUUGUUUGGGAAUGCAGCUCAAAAUGGGUGGUAAAUUCCAUCUAAAGCUAAAUAUUGGCGAGAGACCGAUAGCGAACAAGUACCGUGAGGGAAAGAUGAAAAGCACUUUGGAGAGAGAGUUAAACAGUACGUGAAAUUGUUGAAAUGGAAACGCUUGAAGUCAGUCGCGUUCUCUGGGAUUCAGCCUUGCUUUUGCUUGGUGCAUUUCCCGGUCUACGGGCCAGCAUGAAUUUUGACCAAUGGAAAAAGGCUUGGGGAAUGUGGCACCUUCGGGUGUGUUAUAGCCCCUUGUCACAUACGUUGGUUGGGAUUGAGGUCUUAGUGCACGCUUCGGUUGUGCUUUGAUGCUGGCGUAAUGGCUUUAAACGACCCGUCUUGAAACACGGACCAAGGAGUCUAACAUGUCUGCAAGUGUUUGGGUGCAAAACCCGAGCGCGUAAUGAAAGUGAUAGUUGGGAACCUCUUCAGAGGGGCACCGACGCCCGGACCAGACCUUCUGUGACGGAUCCGAGGUAGAGCAUAUAUGUUGGGACCCGAAAGAUGGUGAACUAUGCCUGCAUAGGUGAAGCCAGAGAAACUCUGGUGGAGCUCGUACGAUUCUGACUGCAAAUCGAUCUCAAUGUGGUAUAGGGCGAAAGACUAAUCCACCAU
rnacentral:rRNA from 1 species